rnacentral:rRNA from 1 species
UACGUAGGGCGCAAGCGUUGUCCGGAAUUAUUGGGCGUAAAGAGCUCGUAGGCGGCCUGUUGCGUCCGCUGUGAAAUCCCGGGGCUCAACCCCGGGCCUGCAGUGGAUACGGGCUGGCUGGAGGCAGGCAGGGGAGAACGGAAUUCCUGGUGUAGCGGUGAAAUGCGCAGAUAUCAGGAGGAACACCGGUGGCGAAGGCGGUUCUCUGGGCCUGUACUGACGCUGAGGAGCGAAAGCGUGGGGAGCGAACAGG